AGCUUGCUGGGUGGAUUAGUGGCGAACGGGUGAGUAACACGUGAGUAACCUGCCCUUAACUCUGGGAUAAGCCUGGGAAACUGGGUCUAAUACCGGAUAGGAGCGCCUACCGCAUGGUGGGUGUUGGAAAGAUUUAUCGGUUUUGGAUGGACUCGCGGCCUAUCAGCUUGUUGGUGAGGUAAUGGCUCACCAAGGCGACGACGGGUAGCCGGCCUGAGAGGGUGACCGGCCACACUGGGACUGAGACACGGCCCAGACUCCUACGGGAGGCAGCAGUGGGGAAUAUUGCACAAUGGGCGCAAGCCUGAUGCAGCGACGCCGCGUGAGGGAUGACGGCCUUCGGGUUGUAAACCUCUUUCAGUAGGGAAGAAGCGAAAGUGACGGUACCUGCAGAAGAAGCACCGGCUAACUACGUGCCAGCAGCCGCGGUAAUACGUAGGGUGCGAGCGUUAUCCGGAAUUAUUGGGCGUAAAGAGCUCGUAGGCGGUUUGUCGCGUCUGUCGUGAAAGUCCGGGGCUUAACCCCGGAUCUGCGGUGGGUACGGGCAGACUAGAGUGCAGUAGGGGAGACUGGAAUUCCUGGUGUAGCGGUGGAAUGCGCAGAUAUCAGGAGGAACACCGAUGGCGAAGGCAGGUCUCUGGGCUGUAACUGACGCUGAGGAGCGAAAGCAUGGGGAGCGAACAGGAUUAGAUACCCUGGUAGUCCAUGCCGUAAACGUUGGGCACUAGGUGUGGGGACCAUUCCACGGUUUCCGCGCCGCAGCUAACGCAUUAAGUGCCCCGCCUGGGGAGUACGGCCGCAAGGCUAAAACUCAAAGGAAUUGACGGGGGCCCGCACAAGCGGCGGAGCAUGCGGAUUAAUUCGAUGCAACGCGAAGAACCUUACCAAGGCUUGACAUGUUCUCGAUCGCCGUAGAGAUACGGUUUCCCCUUUGGGGCGGGUUCACAGGUGGUGCAUGGGUUGUCGUCAGCUCGUGUCGUGAGAUGUUGGGGUUAAGUCCCCGCAACGAGCGCAACCCUCGUUCCAUGUUGCCAGCACGUAAUGGUGGGGACUCAUGGGAGACUGCCGGGGUCAACUCGGAGGAAGGUGAGGACGACGUCAAAUCAUCAUGCCCCUUAUGUCUUGGGCUUCACGCAUGCUACAAUGGCCGGUACAAUGGGUUGCGAUACUGUGAGGUGGAGCUAAUCCCAAAAAGCCGGUCUCAGUUCGGAUUGGGGUCUGCAACUCGACCCCAUGAAGUCGGAGUCGCUAGUAAUCGCAGAUCAGCAACGCUGCGGUGAAUACGUUCCCGGGCCUUGUACACACCGCCCGUCAAGUCACGAAAGUUUGGUAACACCCGAAGCCGGUGGCCUAACCCU
rnacentral:rRNA from 1 species